GAUGAACGCUGGCGGCGUGCCUAAUACAUGCAAGUCGAGCGCAUAGAGGAAGGUCCUUCCCCUUUUCCAGUGGGUGCCGACCGGGUGAUUACCACGUGGUCACCCUCCCUCAAGACUGGGAUUACUAUUUGAAAACAGAUCCUAUUCCCGAAUAUAUCUUAAUCUCGCAUGACACAUAGUUAAAAGGCGCUUUGGCGUCACCUAGAGAUGGAUCCGCGCCGCAUUAGUUAGUUGGUGAGGUAACGGCCUACCAAGGCAAUGAUGCGUAGCCGACCUGAGAGAGUGAUCGGCCACACUGGAACUGAGACACGGCCCAAACUCCUACGGGAGGCAGCAGUAGGGAAUCUUCCGCAAUGGGCGAAAGCCUGACGGAGCAACGCCGCGUGAGUGAUGAAGGCCUUCGGAUCGUAAAGCACUGUUAUAAGGGAAGAACAGAUGUAAAAGUAAAUGAGCACAUUUUGACGGUACCAAACCAGAAAGCCACGGCUAAAUACGUG
rnacentral:rRNA from 1 species